CUCGCUCGAGAGAGUAGAAUUGAAUGCGACCCAAAAGGGAACGUGCAUGUCAAAACAAAAUGUGGUUCGUCUCGCGGCGAGUUGUAGGUCGUUCAAAUAUCGAUUAUUUUGAUAAGGAAUUUGUGUUGUGGAAAAUUUCCAUCGUAUCUUGGAAUGCUGCGAAUUAACUCCUAUCUCCUUAUCAGAUGUGCGCUAAUUCGGAUUGCGUAAUCGGAGUUUUUGUGAUAAAAAAACAACGUCUCCAUGUUUCGUGUUUUGUUGAAUUAAAUUCAAUCGUAUUUUGGGAACGUUAGUUACGUAUAAACGUUUUGGAUACCUGUUAUGAUCGAAAUUCGCAUACAAUCCGCAAAUAAUAUUUUGUUUAUUUUAUUAGUUGUGUUCCACUUUUUUGCACGUUUAACGUGAAAUGUCGGCGAACUCUGGUGGUGGCGACAGACAUCGUGCUCGUACAACUUCUAUUGGAUUUGGACUUGGAGCGCUGCGUGUCUCAUUUCGGGGAUUAUUAAAAGAUUCGAGCUUGCUAAACGUAUAAAGCAUGGAUUCGACAAAUGUAUCGAUAUCGUGGGAUUCGUUCCUAAAGGCUAUAAACGAUAUGAAAAUGUUAUCCGAUAGUAUCAACGACGAUUGGCUACUAAACGAACAUAGCGCCGGUGUUUACUUGUCUAAAAAAUUAGUUAAAAGUGUAUCCGCACGGUUGUUCGCCCUCGAAGAGUGUGACAACGACGGGGGAGAUAACGAUGUUUUAAUUACGUACGAAUACCAUGUGGUCUAUAACGCCAGUUAUGGCUGCCCCGUUUUGUGCUUCAACGCCUGGAAGACCGACGGUAGCUUACUAACAAUCGAAGAAUGUUGGAAACAAUUUAAUUUUGCCAAUGCCGAUUAUAAAUACAACACGCUGACACAAAUGGAACACCCCUUACUAAUGAGGCCUUUUAUAACUUUGCAUCCGUGCAAAACUUCAGAAUUAAUAGGAACGUUGAUGAAAAGUAACAAUCUCGUCGUUUCGUGGCUUAGUGCCGUUGGGCCCGUUGUGGGACUGGAUGUGUCUUCGUGUUAUGCAAGCUUGACCCUUUGAAUAUUCUGUGAAGCAUUACUAACCAUAAGAAUAAAACUAUAGAAAAUGAUCCGCCGCAGUUUUUAAUUCAUCUAGCAAAAUAUCUAUAUAAUGGUUCACGGAGACGUUAACAUAUUUCCAUUACAGCAAGUGAUAGUUGAUAGUAAAAAAACGUUGGAAAAAACAAUUGAAAAUCUGCUUUUCUAAUUAAAUUUUUUUCGCGAACCACCCUGUAUAUUAUUUUAUAUGAAGUUCGCGUCUUCAUUAAAAAACGAAUAAUAUCAAACGACUUUAUAAUCAAGGUGGCGAUUAAAUCUGAUAUUAGUGUCUGGAACAGGUGAAAAACUGCCUAGGUAUUCGAAAAUAGAAUUUCUUCUCCCAGAAAUUGUUUGGAUUUUUUCCAAACUCUAAUGACCACAACCGAUCGUUAGAUAAAAUGGUAAAUGCUUCUACCUACAUUUACGCGAUAAAUAAAGAGACAAACUUUUAAUUUCCACUGAUAUUCUGUUGACAGAAAAAUGUAUAAAGCGAAAUAUAAUUUUAAAUUCCAAAUAGUCUAGGCGAUAGAGA